GCUUACGGCCACACCGCCUGGUUCACGCCCGAUCUCGUUUGAUCUCGGAAGCUAAGAUAGGAUGGGCCUGGUUAGUACUUGGAUGGGAGACCGCCUGGGAAUACCAGGUGUUGUAAGAU
rnacentral:rRNA from 1 species